rnacentral:rRNA from 1 species
CUGCCUUUAGGUGGGGGAUAGCAGACCGAAAGGUCUAUUAAUACCGCAUAUGUAUGCACUUAGACAUUUGUGCAUAUGAAAGGAGCAAUUUGCCUGAAGAUGAGCCUGCGUCCGAUUAGCUAGUUGGUAGGGUAACGGCCUACCAAGGCGACGAUCGGUAGGUGGUCUGAGAGGAUGAUCACCCACAAUGGGACUGAGACACGGCCCAU